rnacentral:rRNA from 1 species
CACGUAGGGUGCGAGCGUUGUCCGGAAUUAUUGGGCGUAAAGAGCUCGUAGGCGGUGUGUCGCGUCGGCCGUGAAAACCUGCAGCUUAACUGUGGGCUUGCGGUCGAUACGGGCAUCACUGGAGUUCGGCAGGGGAGACUGGAAUUCCUGGUGUAGCGGUGAAAUGCGCAGAGUAUCAGGAGGAACACCGGUGGCGGAAGG